rnacentral:rRNA from 1 species
AGCGAACGCUGGCGGCAGGCCUAACACAUGCAAGUCGAACGGGCUCUUCGGAGCUAGUGGCGGACGGGUGAGUAACACGUGGGAACGUGCCUUUAGGUUCGGAAUAAGCCCGGGAAACUGGGUCUAAUACCGAAUGUGCCCUUCGGGGGAAAGAUUUAUCGCCUUUAGAGCGGCCCGCGUCUGAUUAGCUAGUUGGUGAGGUAAUGGCUCACCAAGGCGACGAUCAGUAGCUGGUCUGAGAGGAUGACCAGCCACAUUGGAACUGAGACACGGCACAAACUCCUACGGGAGGCAGCAGUGGGGAAUCUUGCGCAAUGGGCGAAAGCCUGACGCAGCCAUGCCGCGUGGAUGAUGAAGGUCUUAGGAUUGUAAAAUCCUUUCACCGGUGAAGAUAAUGACUGUAGCCGGAGAAGAAGCCCCGGCUAACUUCGUGCCAGCCGCCGCGGUAA